CAGCUUUUAAGUAAGGAAAACGGUUGACUCCAUUCACUACACCAAGGCUAGGAGACUAAUGAAAAUUCAGGUCCAUCCCGCAAGCAUCUGCACGUGCUUGAGGAUCUCUUUUCCUAUUCUUACCUCAAAGAGUACUUGAAGUUUCUGAAAACAAAUCUGUAAGACUGACAUGUUUGGGGCAGUAAUAUCUUGAUGUUAAACCAUGAACAGAACCAGCAAGAUCAGCCAGUACCUGAAACCCAAUACAGAGUAGUUCACAGCAAGAAGUACAGAUUGAUCUGGUUCCCAUGCCUGAAACCCUGUCAUCUAGCAGUUCUACCAGUGUUCCUGGGCCAUUUUCUUAGCUUCUUGAGUGAGUUUAGCUCUUUUUGUGUUGACUUUUAGGGCCUCCAGCAGCUCCAUGAUUUUCCAGGACUUUCCAGUCUGGCCCCCACGGAAUUCUCAGGAUGAUUCUCAUCCAGCCCUAAGUCAUGUUUCUAGCCUGGCUCCAGCGGGUAAGCCAGGCCCUGAGAACCAUAUGAAAGGGCUCUCCAGAUAAAAUCAGAGUGCUAAUGCCAGAAUGCUGCAGUAGCCUCCGUUUGUCCACAGGCUCACUGUCUGAGCCCAGGAUAUUUUUAUGAGUGAAACUGUAAGAUCUUUACACUGGACUUCCUAAAGAUAAAACAAUUAUGGAAAUACAGAACUUUACAGAUGAAGCUGUCUAGCCCUAUACAUGUGAAAAUUAAGAUCCAACUACUUCCUGUAAUGGUAGCCUUCCCCUAUGCCUCUAACCCUUUUUUAAAUCCUGAUUUCAAUCACAGGCAUUGUGAUUCUCCAAAGCUCUAACUCUUCCUUAGGUCUGAAAGCCACAUGCUAUCAAUCAUUGAAAUCAAGAGAGAAGGCAUCCGUAGACGGGCGCAGCCCAGUCUUUCCACAUAGCCCAGUUCCUCCCCAGCCACUCCCCAUGGGAAUGACCUCUGCAGCUGACCUAAGCUUAUCCUCUCCUUCUUCCUAAGAGUGCAACUUAGAAGUCAGAGCCAAAUCCUAGAAUGUAUCCCUAAAUGCCAUUUCUAUUUUUUAUAAACAUGAAAAGGUUGUGCUUUGGAAAUUCAGUCUGUUUGAGAACUGGCAGUCUGGCUGGCACUGUUUAAAAAUGUUUAUUUGCCCUGCAUUUAAAAACUGAAGGUUUCCUAUGUAUUAAAAGCCAUAUUUCCACCUUCUUAAGGGAAAAAAAAAUCGGACGUCAUAACACUGGGUGGAUGUUUUUAUGGUAACAGUGGUCUGAGGCCCUUGGCGGAUGCUCACCGAGCCACUGUCACUAUCCUGCCUGCCUUUAUCUGCCUUGCCCUGCGAUUAUUUGGCUUUGUAAGCAUAAGCUACGUAAGACAUACCACACCUAAGAAACUAAACAGCAAUGAAAACCCAUACUUCUGAAAAGGGUGUCUUUUAAAAAUUAAGUUUGAUCUUUUGGGAAAUAAAGCACAUAGUUUUCAAAAUGAUUUACCAAGAUCUAUGCUCUUUCAAAUGGAGACUGGGAUAUUGUUGUUUUGAGACCACUGUUUUCCUGUUUCCUCCCAAAUGUUAGUCACAUAUAUGAUUACCCUUAAGUUGGUCACUAUCUAUCUAUCUGUCAAUAAUUUAGGAUUAAAGUUUGAAGUGUAAUUACAUUUGACUUUUACAGGCAUCUCAGGGUGGACUUCUUAUGAAUACACUGAACCUAUACAAAUGAUCUUAGAAAACGUUUAAUAUCAGAUUUCUUUAUUUUUUCC
rnacentral:lncRNA from 1 species